AGUCUCCACCAUCUCGAUGGCUUGCUUCAUUUCCAGCUUCUUGUACAAAGAAACAAUGCUUGAUUUGGGUAGGUUCUUUCUGAUGAGGAUUUUCCUUUUCUGCCCUCAUGAGAAGCCGCGGUUCCUGUGUAUUCUCAGCCCACGCUGUACCAGUUCUCUCUGAAACAACCUACACCAAGUCAACUGCGUCUUCCACCUGACAAUUCUUCAUUUUCCAGGCUUAGCAUGCCCUGGAAUUUCAACCACUUCCUGUAGGGGAUGGCUCAGGAGCACUUUAUCUUCUUGGUCUCCAUUCCCUGAAUUCUCUCUGAUUUUAUGCCCAGCUUCCAAUGGAACCUUUAGAAGUUUGUCAGGGAGUGAAACCCUCAGCCUCCUUACUUGUCUCUCACUUGGUAGUGACUCCAGUGCCCACACACAUCUUCGAUUCCAGCCUUUAAGUGAUCCAUCAGCUGCCAAACAAACACAAGAAAAUGAUUGCUGGAGAAACGCGAACUCUGAAAGACACACAGGACAACUAAGACACUUUAAAAAACAAAGGAGCCUUUAAUUUUCUGGAGCCUAUCUGACUUUCUAUCACUGUGUUCAUGUAAUAAAAUAUUUGGUGCCUUUCAUAGUAAUUUCAUAGUAAUUUCAACUUUGGUUUAAAGACUCUGUAGAUAAGUUUCUUCAUAAUUCACAUAAUACGUAAUGAAAACAGGGCACCUGGCAUUUGCUUUGGAUAAUACUUUUCUAGAAUGAUCUAGGAAAUUUCUCAUUACUGAAAUCAC
rnacentral:lncRNA from 10 species